ensembl:ncRNA R08B4.6 ncRNA
AGGUACUAAUGCAGUAACAAAGAGAGAAGGAAGGCUCCAACUCCUAAAGCGGGGGCUGCUCCACUGCCGCAUGUCGAAAAUGCGCCUAAUAGACCACCUCAAAUGAUUUAUUUCCUCAAUUGCGGCCAUUAUAUAUCUUGAGAUUGUAAAUACGUAAUCUUAUUUGAGGCGAGAUGGAGAGGUCCACUUUUUCUCCCUUAUU